AGUGAACGCUGGCGGUAGGCCUAACACAUGCAAGUCGAACGGCAGCACAGUAAGAGCUUGCUCUUACGGGUGGCGAGUGGCGGACGGGUGAGGAAUACAUCGGAAUCUACUUUUUCGUGGGGGAUAACGUAGGUAAACUUACGCUAAUACCGCAUACGACCUACGGGUGAAAGCAGGGGAUCUUCGGACCUUGCGCGAUUGAAUGAGCCGAUGUCGGAUUAGCUAGUUGGCGGGGUAAAGGCCCACCAAGGCGACGAUCCGUAGCUGGUCUGAGAGGAUGAUCAGCGACACUGGAACUGAGACACGGUCCAGACUCCUACGGGAGGCAGCAGUGGGGAAUAUUGGACAAUGGGCGCAAGCCUGAUCCAGCCAUACCGCGUGGGUGAAGAAGGCCUUCGGGUUGUAAAGCCCUUUUGUUGGGAAAGAAAAGCAGCAGGUUAAUACCCCGCUGUUCUGACGGUACCCAAAGAAUAAGCACCGGCUAACUUCGUG
rnacentral:rRNA from 1 species